UUCUAUAUAAUUAUUAUGGCCAGGUUCACAACUUUUGUCCAAAUGGAAGUAGCUAUUGUAAGAACCUAUUAGAUUGUUUCUCAUGAAAGUUGCAUUCACAUCUAUUCCCGGUCCUCGGAGGAUGAACCCUGCAGACUUUUGGUGAACCCCCGAGUCGUCCCCUUGUGCAACCAGCUGGUUGACGAUUUACUUUCCACAACUUUCGGUCAACACCUCGGUUUGUCCAGUACUUCACCAUCAACACGCUGCAAAGCGCCCAAAGGGACUUAUAAAGGACUCUAGACUAGGAAGCGACGUGUCUGAUCUCCUGCUCAUCUUUCAGGGCGUACCGGUGACCUUCAGAAGCUCCGGCGUCACGACAGGCCUCACUUACAGCUGUGAUUCCCGGGAACCAAACAUCCAAAACAUCCAUCAUCCGGGG